UGGGGAAUUUUCCGCAAUGGGCGCAAGCCUGACGGAGCAACGCCGCGUGAGGGAGGAAUGUCUGUGGAUUGUAAACCUCUUUUCUCUGGGAAGAAGAUCUGACGGUACCAGAGGAAUCAGCAUCGGCUAACUUCGUGCCAGCAGCCGCGGUAAUACGAAGGGGGCUAGCGUUGUUCGGAAUUACUGGGCGUAAAGCGCGCGUAGGCGGGCUGUUAAGUUGGGGGUGAAAUCCCGGGGCUCAACCUCGGAAUUGCCUCCAAAACUGGCAGUCUAGAGUCCGAGAGAGGUGAGUGGAACUCCGAGUGUAGAGGUGAAAUUCGUAGAUAUUCGGAAGAACACCAGUGGCGAAGGCGGCUCACUGGCUCGGUACUGACGCUGAGGUGCGAAAGCGUGGGGAGCAAACAGGAUUAGAUACCCCUGUAGUCC
rnacentral:rRNA from 1 species